rnacentral:rRNA from 1 species
CCUACGGGAGGCAGCAGUGGGGAAUAUUGGACAAUGGGCGAAUGCCUGAUCCAGCCAUGCCGCGUGUGUGAAGAAGGCCUUCGGGUUGUAAAGCACUUUCAGUGGGGAAGAAAGCCUUGGGGCUAAUACCCUCGAGGAAGGACAUCACCCACAGAAGAAGCACCGGCUAACUCCGUGCCAGCAGCCGCGGUAAUACGGAGGGUGCGAGCGUUAAUCGGAAUUACUGGGCGUAAAGCGCGCGUAGGCGGUCUGAUAAGCCGGUUGUGAAAGCCCCGGGCUCAACCUGGGAACGGCAUCCGGAACUGUUAGGCUAGAGUGCAGGAGAGGAAGGUAGAAUUCCCGGUGUAGCGGUGAAAUGCGUAGAGAUCGGGAGGAAUACCAGUGGCGAAGGCGGCCUUCUGGACUGACACUGACGCUGAGGUGCGAAAGCGUGGGUAGCAAACAGGAUUAGAUACCCGAGUAGUC